rnacentral:rRNA from 1 species
CUACGUGCCAGCAGCCGCGGUAAUACGUAGGUCCCGAGCGUUGUCCGGAUUUAUUGGGCGUAAAGCGAGCGCAGGCGGUUUGAUAAGUCUGAAGUUAAAGGCUGUGGCUCAACCAUAGUUCGCUUUGGAAACUGUCAAACUUGAGUGCAGAAGGGGAGAGUGGAAUUCCAUGUGUAGCGGUGAAAUGCGUAGAUAUAUGGAGGAACACCGGUGGCGAAAGCGGCUCUCUGGUCUGUAACUGACGCUGAGGCUCGAAAGCGUGGGGAGCGAACAGGAUUAGAUACCCUGGUAGUCCAUGCCGUAAACGAUGAGUGCUAGGUGUUAGACCCUUUCCGGGGUUUAGUGCCGCAGCUAACGCAUUAAGCACUCCGCCUGGGGAGUACGACCGCAAGGUUGAAACUCAAAGGAAUUGACGGGGGCCCGCACAAGCGGUGGAGCAUGUGGUUUAAUUCGAAGCAACGCGAAGAACCUUACCAGGUCUUGACAUCCCUCUGACCUCUCUAGAGAUAGAGAUUUC